rnacentral:rRNA from 1 species
AGGAUGAACGCUGGCGGCGUGCCUAACACAUGCAAGUCGAACGUCCUGUCUCGCAAGAGGCAGGGAGUGGCGGACGGGUGAGUACCACGUGGGUCAUCUACCGUGAGGUGAGGAAUACCGGCGAGAAAUCGCCGACAAGACCGCAUAGGCUCGAUGCAAGUCGAGCAAAGCUCUUUCGAGAGAGGGAGCGCCACACGAGGAGCCUGCGCCCGAUUAGCUAGCUGGUGGAGUAAUGGUUCACCAGGGCGACGAUCGGUAGCUGGUCUGAGAGGACGAUCAGCCACACUGGGAUUGAGAACGGCCCAGACUCCUACGGGGGGCAGCAGUGAGGAAUUUUCGCAAUGGGGGCAACCCUGAACGAGCAACGCCGCGUGCAGGAAGAAGGUUUUCGGAUCGUAAACUGCUUUUCGUCGGGGAAGAGAACGGACGGUACCCGAGGAAUCGAGCCCCGGCUAACGUACGUGCCAGCAGCCGCGGU